rnacentral:rRNA from 1 species
ACGAACGCUGGCGGCGUGCCUAGUACAUGCAAGUUGAGCGCUGAAGGUUGGUACUUGUACCAACUGGAUGAGCAGCGAACGGGUGAGUAACGCGUGGGGAAUCUGCCUUUGAGCGGGGGACAACAUUUGGAAACGAAUGCUAAUACCGCAUAAAAACUUUAAACACAAGUUUUAAGUUUGAAAGAUGCAAUUGCAUCACUCAAAGAUGAUCCCGCGUUGUAUUAGCUAGUUGGUGAGGUAAAGGCUCACCAAGGCGAUGAUACAUAGCCGACCUGAGAGGGUGAUCGGCCACAUUGGGACUGAGACACGGCCCAAACUCCUACGGGAGGCAGCAGUAGGGAAUCUUCGGCAAUGGACGAAAGUCUGACCGAGCAACGCCGCGUGAGUGAAGAAGGUUUUCGGAUCGUAAAACUCUGUUGGUAGAGAAGAACGUUGGUGAGAGUGGAAAGCUCAUCAAGUGACGGUAACUACCCAGAAAGGGACGGCUAACUACGUG